rnacentral:rRNA from 1 species
GUGUCAGCAGCCGCGGUAAUACGUAGGAUCCGAGCGUUGUCCGGAAUUACUGGGUGUAAAGGGCGUGUAGGUGGGUCUCUAAGUCGGUGGUGAAAUCCUGCAGCUUAACUGCAGAAUUGCCAUCGAAACUGGAGGUCUUGAGUACGGCAGAGGGAGAUGGAAUUCAUGGUGUAGCGGUGAAAUGUGUAGAUAUCAUGAAGAACACCAGUAGCGAAGGCGGUCUCCUGGUCCGUAACUGACACUGAGGCGCGAAAGCGUGGGGAGCAAACAGGAUUAGAAACCCCCGUAGUCC